rfam:Picea glauca, whole genome shotgun sequence.
GCGGGUAUAGCUCAGUUCAGAGAGCGUCAGACUGAAGAUCUGAAGGUCGCGUGUUCGAUACACGCUCACCGCA